rnacentral:lncRNA from 1 species
GGAGCCGGGCGGCCGCGCUGCCGCGGCCCUUCUCCGCCGGCGGGGCCGGGUGGGCCCCGCGGGUCCGGGGCGAGCUCGGGGCGCCGCGCCCCUGCGGCCGUCAGAGCGGGGUCUGAAGGGUAAAGCGGGGGUGGGAGGGCUGCGCCGGGGGCCGGGCGCGCGGUCCCCCCGGAAAGUUACCGGCCCGGGGGUCCCGAGCUGGGGAAGCCGCCGGGAUGCUGCUUUCCGAGAGGGAGCCGGCGGGGAGCUCCGCGUAGCUGUGUGUAGGUAAUAGAAUCUGAAGGAUAAGAAGGCAAAAAUCCUCACUAUUGACAUAUGUGAUUCCAAGUAGCUCUUAUUUCCUUUGUAAAUUGGGGAUUGUGGAAUACUGCAGCAGAUUUCUCAUCAACUGGGGAAGGUCUGCUGUUGUCCUUUAAAAAUCAGCUGCUGCCUAGGUGCACUGGCUUUCUUUAGAGCUGAAACAGGGAUACUUCCAGAAUUUGGCUCACAAUCUUUCCUGAAUUUUGAAUCACAAGAGCAUCUCCAAGGUCACUUUCUGGAAUACCUUUGGAUUUUCAUCACUUCUGGCCAUCUGGACUGGAUGAGCAAGGUGAUAGCGAUGAACUCCUUUGUGAACAACUGCCCACGUGACAAAGGGAAGAAUGCCUUCAAACGUUGUGAAAUGGGGAGGUAAAAGCUCAGGGCUGAAUCGGGAUUUCAGUUUUAUUUUCAACUGAGCAAUGUAACCUUUCAAAUUCACAAAGCAUUGUCAGUUCUUAUAAUCCUUUAUUUAGUCUGCUUGGGUUUGAUUUCUGUUUGUAUUUUUACUAUCCAGGGAGAAACAGAUUCUGGCAUCCUUUAGUCUGAACACUGUCAACUCUUAUUGUAGGAAUAAGGUGAGUAAGAAUUACUUUUGUGAGCAAGAUUUAAUUGCCAGGACACUUAGAGAGCAGCAACAACAAAAGAAUACCUGUAUAUUUUGAUUCAAGCACUUUGUCCAUUCUGGAAAUGAGAGCACAGGCUGCCACAUUGGUAUGAUUGUACUAAAAUAGCAGCUUGUGUUUACAUUUUAACUUUCUGUUAUGAGACUGCUGUCUGUGUAGCUGGAAGCACACAUUUAGGAGGUAGGAAAUACCUGUUUUGUGGGCCCUGUUAUGGUGACCCAAACUACCAAGGCACAAGCACGUAUCCUUCUGCUGUGAGUGCCAGCUUGUGAGGCAAAGGCUCACGGCACUGGGGAUUUCAUUUUGUCAUUGAAUGUGCCAGAAAAGAAUGCUCAGAAAUAAGAGAUGCAAAUAAUAUUUUCUCUGCCUCUCUGAAAUUGAUUUUCCUUACGCAGUGAAAGUGGUCAGCAGCUCUUUUAAUGCGCCAGCGUGAAGUCUGCUCAGCAUGGAAAUUCUUCUUUAUAUCAUCCAGGGCCAGAUCCUGCCCUCACGUUCAUUUUAGGUGGUUUCUUAGUAUGCCAAAUGUCUCAUUAGUCUGCAAGUGCGAUACGAUGAAGCACAAAGCAAUAUUUUAUAGCAUGGCAGACUUGAAGUACUGACUGCAGUGUGAAUGCUCUCAGUCUUUUAUCUAAUUCAUUUGCACUGAUCUGUAAUAAAGGUGAUCCCCGGCAUGGCUUCCCCAAAUGCUGAUGGUGAAAAUACAGUCAUGUAGCAGAGAUUCAAAUGACGUUCCCUUUUUUAAUAAUUCAUCUCUAGUUAUGAAACUGUACUCGAGGACUGGGGGAGCUCCCCUCCUCCUGCUCCCAUUCCUUCCCACUACUUUUUUUGGAGAGACUAAAUGAAGAUCUUAGCUUAGGUUGUCAUUUUGCAAGUCAAGCGGUUUCCUCAUCAGCACAUCACCCAGUUGUUUGACCUUUUGCACCUUAAAAAAGCGAUGAUACAGUUUGCUGAUAGGAAUUCAGUGACGAUAUGUCAACCCUUCUUCAUUAAGCCUGCCUGCUCGCAUUGCAACCUCUCCCGCUGCUGCUGUCAGAAUACUGUAAACUUUGUUUGAUCCCACUGGGUCCUUGAGGUUUAUUUCAUUAAGGAGUAUAAUAUCUCCUAAUGGAAGCUAG